AAAUUAAUUAUAUAAAAUUCAUUUACGCAUAUUUAAAAAUAUAAUCAUGUCAGAUAGUUGUUAUUACGAUGUCAAUUAAUUGUAUACAAUCAUAGUGGUGCUUAAAUGCUAUGUCGAGAGGAGAGAGUCAGUUCUAUGAGAAGUCAAAUCAAGUCAAGCUACUACAGUCCCAAAUACGAUGAUCGGUGACCUACCUACCCCCGUGCUCGUUUGUCUGGAAACUUGAGACUACGCAAUGGCGGUGGCAAGUCAUUCCAGCACUUGGAAGCGGCAAACCUGAAACUACCCCGAAAGGCAACGGUUCGGUGCGGGGGAAGGAUGAGAGCGCUGCCGGAGCGACGGGUCUGGUGCGAGUGGACUUCCCGAGUCCAAACUAGUUUCUCCAGUAGAUAAGUCGGAACAUUGUGUUUUAUUGUACCAAAAAGCAAUGUAGCAAAGUGCAACGCCCUCCGUGAGUUCAUUUUUAAUAUUUUAGAAUUGUUUAAAUAUGGCGUAACGUGUGCUCUUGGCGGGAUCGAGAAACAAAAACGAGCACAUGAAUUUUGCACACGUUGGAUAGCUUGUUUGGUGCGCGACAGCAGCCGAGGUCCAUAAACCACGUCCAUGUAAUUAAA